AGCUAUUUGACUGAAAGGUAAGUAAAUGUUUUGAAAACAUCUCACAAGGGUUCGAAUCCUUUAAUAGUUU
rnacentral:tRNA from 1 species